GACAGAGGGUGCAAGCGUUGUUCGGAAUUAUUGGGCGUAAAGGGCGUGUAGGCGGUCUGCUAAGUCAUGUGUGAAAUCCCUCGGCUUAACCGGGGAACUGCGUCUGAUACUGGAUGGCUUGAGUUUGGGAGAGGGAUGCGGAAUUCCAGGUGUAGCGGUGAAAUGCGUAGAUAUCUGGAGGAACACCGGUGGCGAAGGCGGCAUCCUGGACCAACACUGACGCUGAGGAGCGAAAGCCAGGGGAGCAAACGGG
rnacentral:rRNA from 1 species